AGAGUUUGAUCCUGGCUCAGGAUGAACGCUGGCGGCGUGCCUAACACAUGCAAGUCGAACGGAGUUACGAUGAAACCUAGUGAUUCGUAACUUAGUGGCGGACGGGUGAGUAACGCGUGGAUAACCUGCCUUACACUGGGGGAUAACACUUAGAAAUAGGUGCUAAUACCGCAUAAGCGCACGGAGCCGCAUGGCUUAGUGUGAAAAACUCCGGUGGUGUAAGAUGGAUCCGCGUCUGAUUAGCUGGUUGGCGGGGUAGAAGCCCACCAAGGCGACGAUCAGUAGCCGGCCUGAGAGGGUGAACGGCCACAUUGGGACUGAGACACGGCCCAAACUCCUACGGGAGGCAGCAGUGGGGAAUAUUGCACAAUGGGGGAAACCCUGAUGCAGCAACGCCGCGUGAGUGAAGAAGUCAUUCGUGAUGUAAAGCUCUAUCAGCAGGGAAGAAAAUGACGGUACCUGAGUAAGAAGCCCCGGCUAAUUACGUG
rnacentral:rRNA from 1 species